UACGGCAGGGAUCUGUUUGCAUGUUUUCAACAGUGGAGGAUGUUGUGCAACAAUGCGGUGAUCUGUCAGUUGACUGUAUCCGGGAUGUAAUGGUUCAGCACUUAGGAGGUCUGCAGGAACAGUUUUGUGGAUACUUUCCUCAAGUGGGAAAAGCCAGAUGUAAUCAGUGGAUCAGGAACCCAUUCAUCUUUGAGCUGAUUCCCACAGAUACGCUGUUCUCAAAAGAAGAGGAAACCUUAUCAACCUGCCAAGCAAGUAGAAAGCACAGCACAAAUUUUCACAAAACCCAGCCGCAGACUUUUGGUUAGAGGUGGGAUCUGCGUUUCCUGAGUUAACGCACCAGGCUUAAAGCACUCAGUCCUUUUGCUUCUACCUCCUCGUUUUGUGCAGCAAGGAAACACCCCCGCUCCCACCCCCCAGAUAAGCCUGCAGGUAAUCUCCAUCUUCCUUAGGAUGCCUGUUCAGCCUGCCUCCCCACCAUAGGCAGAGUAACACACGAAACUGCAGCUUUUGCUUCCCUGACAAGGAGCGAGCUCCAAGUGCAGCCACUCCACCAAUCAGAGGGGGAAGGGGGGAACGGACACCUGUAAAAUUAAAGAUGCUGCAGCACACCUUGCCAGGAGCACAGCUCGGCAGCCAGCACCCCGCAGGGCUCCUAAGUUAGGUCCUGAAGCUUUGGGACCUGCGUUAUUCAACAUGACUCUACAACCAGUGUAUCCUGAGAUCUCUCUCUACUCCUGGGGCAUGACCUUGCACUCCCUACCUUGGCCCAGACACCAGCACUUCAUGGCAGCAGGUCCUUCCCCAUCUCUGUAUCUGGUCCCUACACUCUUAACUUCCCCAUCCUGCACUAGACCCUCCCUGGGGCAAACCCUAACAUCCCACCUAUCCCUGAAGAAACCCCAGGCACUCAUUUCUCUCAUAGUACUUUUCCCUUCCCUACCCAUGGCCCAGAUUUGCUGCCACCAUUACCACUGCUCUUGGCAUUGGGGGAACCCUAACCUGAGACUCAGGGGAAGCUGGAAUGAUGCCAUGAGCUGUGAUACCUGUUGCAUGUUCAAACAUCAUCUCUCCCUGCACCCUGUUCUUUCCUGAUUUCCCACCGAAAUUUUAAUCCCCCUUGAUGCCAAUGGUAGAAACCUAUCAGAAAUGUGACAGGAAUGGAGGACCCAGUUGAGGCCCAGAUGUUCCAACUUGCUCCCUUUCUGCUAUGCUACCUUCAAAGCAAAAGGAGGAAGUAGCCAGGACUGGCCUAUAAGCUGUAAGCCUUGAUGUCUGCCCUGAUGGUCUGGGUGUAGGAAAGGACAGAGAUACCACUAGAGGUGCAUUAGAAGGAGUGACUGGGCUCCCACCAUUGCAAUUGUUACAGUGAGCACUACAAAGCCCUCAUCUUGGGUGGGGAUGUAUCUUUUCAUGUCUUGCUGAGCAGUUAUGACCUUUAUAUUCAAUAAACCAAUUGAAUUGGG